UUUGAAUACAUGUGUUCUCGGAAUGCAACUUGUUGUACUUUUGGACUUCUGGAACUUUUUAUGAUGUAACGACAAGAGAGAAGAAAAUUGACAUUAAAGGAGAACCAGUAACUAAAGAUGUAUGAUGAAUCAAGAUGUGAUCAUGUGGGUCCUGUUCUGCAGAUGCCAUGAGAUGAUCUGUCUGUCCAUCUGAUAUCACUUGUCCUGAGUAUAUUUUUUCUCCUCUUAGCCCAAUCUCACUCAAAUUUAACUCAUAGAGUGCCUGUGGA